rnacentral:tRNA from 1 species
GCCUGGCUGGUUCAGUCAGUAGAGCAUGUGACUGUAGAUCUCAGGGAUGUGAAUUUGAGCUCCAUGUUGGGUG